UCAAAAACAUGUCCUUUUGUUAAUAAUUUAAGGUCUGACCUGCCCAAUGAAUAUUUAAAUGGCCGCAGUAUUUUGACUGUGCAAAGGUAGCAUAAUCAUUAGUUUUUUAAUUGUAAGCUGGAAUGAAUGGUUUGAUGAGAAAAUAACUGUCUCAAUUUAAUUGUUUUAGAAUUUUAAUUUUAAGUGAAAAAGCUUAAAUUUUUAAGGAAGACGAGAAGACCCUAUAGAGUUUAAUAAUUUUAUAUUAUGAUUGGUUUUAGAUUUAUUUAAAAUUUUAAUGUAUAAUUAUUUUAUUGGGGUGAUAUUAAAAUUUAAUAAACUUUUAAUUUAUUUAAACAUUUUUUGUGAUUAUUUGAUCCUAAUUUUUAGAUUAUAAGAUAAAAUUACCUUAGGGAUAACAGCGUAAUUUUUUUUGAGAGUUCUUAUCAAAAGAAAAGUUUGCGACCUCGAUGU
rnacentral:rRNA from 1 species